UACGGAGGGGACUAGCGUUGUUCGGAAUUACUGGGCGUAAAGCGCACGUAGGCGGAUUUGUAAGUCAGGGGUGAAAUCCCGGGGCUCAACCUCGGAACUGCCUUUGAUACUGCAAAUCUCGAGUCCGGAAGAGGUGAGUGGAAUUCCGAGUGUAGAGGUGAAAUUCGUAGAUAUUCGGAAGAACACCAGUGGCGAAGGCGGCUCACUGGCUCAUACUGGACGCUGAGGUGCGAAAGCGUGGGGAGCAAACAGG
rnacentral:rRNA from 1 species